rnacentral:lncRNA from 12 species
CAUAGCCCUAUGGUCAAUUGGAAAUUUCCCUGAUGGGAGGACACAUCACCUAGGCCUCUCAAACAGGACUCCAGCCUGGUUAUCUUCAAGGGGCUUCCCCAGCUAGUGAGGUUGGAUGUUGUUAACGGAGUCUAUCCAUCUCAAGCUUCCUCGUGAAGAGAGCGUUUUAAAGAAGCGGGGUUCCAGCAGAUGUCUGAGAAGGAGCACUUGACCCUUUGAGAAAGAGUUCCACGAAGAGCACGUGCAUCCCUGGGCCUGUCCUUGCUGCCUUGCUGGCAUAACCUCCAUGUUGUUUCCUACUCUGUGAACGGUUAGUGUUACCAUCCUAGGCUGAGAUAGGUUGCCUUUCUCUAUUUCUAUUUGGUUCCCAUCAUGCCUUCCUUGUUCAUAGGUCUAGGAGAGUACCAGCCUCACUGGGUUGAAUCUCCUUUUUCUCUGUCCUAAUACAACAUGAGUUCUUUGAGGUCAGGGACUGUGUCUUGUUCAUCUUUAUAGACAAAGAGCUUAACAUGAUUUCUGGUAAGUGAAAGGAAUAUGAUAAAUGUGAUGAAUGAGAAACAAGUUUUAUUUUUUGACACUGUUCA